AAAAAAUCAAAACGGCGUCGUUUUGGUGUCGGGCCACCUUCGAACCCCCGACUUUCGAGCUACCAAUCGGAACUGAUCACUUUCUCUCUACCUCUAUUCGAAGCUAAAAAGCUCUCAUCCCAGAUCAAUCUAAGCAUAUCUCUCGCAUCCCAGAUCACUCUGAGCAGAUCUCUUUCAUCCCAGCUUACUAUCACAUCUGCUCAGCAGAUCUCUUUCAUCCCAAAUCUCUCAUCCUAGAUCUGUCUCAUCUCUCCAACUUCUGAUCGCUCUGUGAUCAACGACGAAGGAGGACGAACAAUGACGAACAACAACAUACGAGGACGAACGACGGCGAAUAACGGACAAUGAAAUACAGAAAAACCUACGAGAAGAAAUGGAAUCCGAGAUUACAGAACUAUGGCUUCUUCUUCUACUAAUAAGAGCAACAUAAGAUUAAAAUCAAGAUUGUGUGAUUGUGGGAGAACUGCGGCGAUGUAUAUUGUAUGCGUGAACGCUACAACAAAAUUCACCUUUGGCGACCAAAUUUUUUUAGCGGGCAAAAAGAGCUGUCCACCACCGUCACAAGGAGCACCCAUCUCUGACCAGCAACAGUACUACAUCGCACACUGCGCGCAGUUGGGGGAUGAAUCACUUGCAUGAGAAUAGACCUGGAGCAAUAAUUCACAGUGAUCUUGAACCUUUGUGAUUAAUCUGGAUAAGAUAACAGAAAGAUACUUGUAUAAUUUCUUAUGUUGUUUAUGAGUAAGAUAACAGAAAUAUAUUGCGGGAUGAUUCAGGGCAUCUGAAAGUUGUGGACUUUGGAGUUAGCAAGCUGUUAAAAGUAACCAGCAGAGUCAAAGAAGAUAGGCCUUUAACCUGUCAUGACACUUCUUGUGAGUGUGCUGAUCUUCUGCAUAGCUUUCGUAUUACUCACGGCUCAAAUUGUACUCUAGUUUUUUCAAUUGCAAUUAAUUAAGGAUCAUAUCAUGGUUUCUGAUAAAUUGUGUGGAUAUUAUUGUUGAUAUGGUGACAUCUACAUAUAUCUGGUGCAUAAAUGUAGAUUGCUUUUUGUACACAAGAGGCAGUGAAGUUUUUGUUCCUGGUUCCUCUUCGUUGUAUUUCUUCUA